GGGUAGAGCUCAGUGGUAGAGCACAUGCUUAUCAUGCAUGAGGUCCUGGGUUCAAUUCCCAAUUCCCA
rnacentral:tRNA from 1 species